ensembl:lncRNA
CUGCGUUGUCAGCCCGUCUGGGGGCUUCGCAAUGGUUUUCCCCUCCUCGGGGCUGAUCUGGGCCUUGUCAGUGCGAAUGGGGCUGUUUAACAGUGCCGUGUAGAUGUGCUUCAUUUUGUACAGGUCUGGAGGCGGGAUCCGCAUCUCCAGACGGCUCCUCUUAAAUCUGAGUGAAGUCUGAAAAUAAGCACUUCCAGAUCGCAUCUGUGUGGAAUUUUCAAAGAAAGCACGGCCGAACAGGUGACACCUCCUUACAGGCAGUCUCCAUCACUUUUGCCAUCAGCAUCAGGUUUGAUGUCCGUCGUAAUUUAAGAAGACACGUGAGGGAUGAAGUAGAAAUGUGGGGAGGGAAAAAAAAGAAAGCAUACUUUCGAAAGGGAAAAAGAAGGAAAGGAUGGCAGUGGUGGCAAAGGGUGCCUGCAGCCAUCUGCUGCGCUGCUUCUCCUCGUCCCCUGCCCUGUGUUCUCCCAUGCCACCUCUCUGAGCCUCUCUGUGGCACUUAUCACCACGAUCUAAACAUAUUUAGUCUGUGUUUGCAGCACUGCGUGAUUUCCGUCAUUUACUUCUUCCCACUUCAAGCUCCAGAGGUAUAGGAAAUCAGAUGGCUUGGCUUGUAAAUAACCUUGUCGGAGGUGUUUACAGUCAUAUAUUAGCAGAUCUGAAUCUGGAAUGAAAGAAUUUAUGGCCAAUGCCCUCUUUUAAGUUGUAUUUCUGUUUAUCUGAUCCUCACUUAUAAAUGCCUCUAAUUAAGCUAUAAACUCUUCGUUUCUACUUAACCAUCUGGGUAGCCUGGGAAGCUUGAGACAGAAAUGUAAUUUACCCACACCACAGCCACGUCUGCAAUGCAAAUCCAGCACAACUGCUUCCCGAGGGUUACAGCCUGCUCCAAUUUCCACUACACGGACAGAAAUAAAGCUUGUCCGAACUACCAGUGUAGGUCCUCACUGGGAAUGACAGGACACUGUUUGUUCAGGAAUGAAAAUGCACCUGGAACCCUGCGAACAGUGGGAGAUAGCAUUCUCAGUUGGAUUUUAGGGAAGAUUUCUUCUCAGAAAGAGCAGUGAGGUGUUGGAAUGAGCUGCCCAGGGACUGGGUGGCAUCACCAUCCCGGGAGGUGUCCAAGAACCAUGGAGAUGUGGCACCAAGGGACAUGGGGAAGGAUGAAGAGGACGUAAGUGGGAAAGAGCAUUGCUGUAUGGCAGAUUACUUAGAAGCAAAGAAUCUUCAGUGCUUAUGAGACAGUGAAAAGAUAAUGUGCCUGAAAUGGUCCACUGCAACAUAAAUCUCAGCACUUUGUGGAUCUUCGGGCAGUGAAGAAGAAAGUGAUUAUUCA